GCCCCGGCCCUCAGGGCAGAGCCGGGGGAGAACCCGCGGAAUCGGGGAAUAGAACGAGGUAAACCCACCCUCCCCCGCCGAAGCCUGGGUUUCAUCGCCCGGUGUUCUCAGAGCGGCCUCCUGGUGAAGGCACUAGAUGACAAGAUGGACAAGGAGGAGAAAGAAGUGUCUGUCAUUCAGGAAGGACAGCAAAGGAUCCUGAAAGCUGAACAGUGUUUCCAUUGUUUUAACACAAGCUCCGCUUCUCCACUGGAAGAUCCAAAUGACAAGGACACUGAGGGUUUCUUUCUCUUUGCUGUUUGUUUCCCUAGUAACAAAUACACAAGCUGCACUGUUAGACUACCA